GUACAGAUGAGAAUGCGAGCUCCAGAUAUCUUCAGGGUCUUGGGGUCGCACGCUGCCGCCCCGGCAGCCGGCGCUGCCGCAGUGGCGUCGCGGCCGCCGGCGAGGCGCAAAGCGGCAUCAGCGACUCCAUUGAUGCUGGCCAGGCGACACCACGGGAUCCUCUCGCGAUCCAUAUGUGAGGCAUUCAAGGGGAAAAUUCCCUCGAACAAAAGGGAUAACCCAGCGAUGGAGGAUGCAGAGGCGCGAUCUCGUCUAUCUGCG
rnacentral:lncRNA from 1 species